CGAACCUGAAUCUGCUCGGCUGGAACGUGGAUGAUGUGGGGCGGCCUGUCGCCAUGGUGAUGCACCGCGUUGCUCUCCUGCUCAUAGAUGGCGUCGCGUUCCGGCUGGGGAAGACUGAGGAACCUUCGGAUCAUGGAGAGAUUCUCCCACAGGGUUCUGUUUUCCGGAGAAGGAUCUUCCUUCCAGCGUAACAGCUCACACAACCACCCCUGUGAGGCAAGGCAUGACAGAAACCUUCAAUCUCAACGGCAAAUGAGUCUGGAAAGUAGGUGGAAGUCUUGAAAUUACUUGGUUUCUUCUAUGUCUGGUGCUCUCCUCACAAAGACAGAAACCCUCUCUUUCUGGCAUUAAAAACCAAACCUAUCAACCAGCCAAAGGCACAGCAGCCAAAGUUCUGUAACUCCACACGACUGAGACAGAAGAGAACAAUAAUGAGCAAAGCAAAUACAAGAAAAAAUACAUAAUAAUGUACUUUAACAAGCCUUGCUAACAUGCAACUAAGUGACUCCUGCAUGCUUCAAGUAGAAGACAGCAGUUCACUUGGGAGAGAAUUUAGAAAUUUCUCCAGUGGUAUUUUGAGGCCUGCACAAAGUCCCAUUUGUGUAUACGAAGGAUAUCAGGGGCAAAGCAUGUUAUUUCCACUUAUUUAUUCCAGUGGAGCCAGUGCAGCUUUUCCAAAAUGUAAAAAGGUCUCAAGUGGUAUUUCAAACCCUGGAACCCCUCAAGAGCUCUAAGUAGCCAGUAGAGACAGUGUUUUAGAACCUUAGGGGUUUGUGAGUGUGUGGCUUUUUUUUUUUUUUUUUUUUUUUUUUGGCCCAAGCUUUCAAUGAGGGGAGUGCCCCCUGGUGGAAAGCUUGAAAAUAUUGUUAGAAAAUGUUCUGAUUAGAAUGUGUUAAUUACCAAAAAAAAAAAGUCAUGUCAUUGGAGCAUAAUUCUGGAUGCAAAAUGACUGCAGUUAGAACCCAGAUAUGGGAAUGCAUGUUUUGGUCCUGUCCCGGUGGUGAUUCCUGGAUUCAAGGUGUUUCUGGCCCAUUUGCCAUUUCCUAUAGUCGAAAAUACAGUUCAGACUUGCCAAGUUACUAGGUCAAGGUUAUUUGUAGUAAUCUCCCAUGGUGGAUACGAAGAGAGAUUUCUCACCAAAAAUUCUUCUUCCCCCUAAAAAAUAAUAUAUCAAAGGCAUCAUGUCCCUGACUUGCUAUCUCAGAGAUGUUGAAACACCAGGACUAAAUUCAUCAAUAAUGGGCAACAUAGGUGUUCAAUCAAUUUGUUGACCAAAAUUCAACAAAAUAUUAGUCAUUCUUGGUUCUGAGAAGAAGAAUCUGUAUAUUGUUUGGAGCAAGUUACCAGCACCUCAUAAAUACUAAAUUUAUUGGAAAUGAGAAGCUGUUCUUCCUUAAGACUUUCCAUCCUCAAGUACUUUUGCCAUGUAUUAUGGAAACAUUCCACAUUGUUGUGAUAGCGGUUAAGGGAGAGUCGUCAUUUUUUCAAUUAAAGUGAACUGACUGAUGAAUUCCUAAACCGUUUUUAUAUUCCAAAAAGAGUUUACAAGUCAUUACAAGUAAAAUUCAUUAGUAAUUGUAAAAGAAAGAAGAAAACCUUCAAUAAAUAUUAUCAGUACUUCCAAAAGCUAAUUAUGAAUUCUUUAAAACAGCAGAUAAGCGGAAGAGACUGCCAAUUUGAACAAAAAAGCCUGUCUGGCCUCCCAGUUGCCUCCUCUUUGAACAUAAUCACUGAUUCAAACAGAUUUUAUCAGCUUCAUGGAACUUCAAAGCCUUCAGAAGGAAAAUAUGAUUUGACGAAACCUUCCUCCUAAAAAGAAUGCAUUCUUCAAGGGUACCUGCCUCUGUGGUGUGGAGAAGUUUUAAUCACAUGUCCAGGUGAAAGACCAUAUUCAAACUCCACCUACUACCUUGGACUCAUGCCAAGUAAGUUAUACGCAGACACAUUUAUCUCUGUCGUUUGGGAGGCUAAAAGAAAGCUGUCGUGUUGAGGUAAUAGCACCUUUUUAGCUUUUAUUCAAUAGCAAUAUGGAUAGUGGACUUUUCUUAAAUUACACUGUGAAGAAUUAUAGGAACACAGUAGCAAUUUCUGUUAUACUUAAGCAGGCAAAUUUCUCUCCACCACAUAAUUUACAGAACUCAAAUUCAAUAAAACAUUACAU